rnacentral:rRNA from 1 species
GCGAGUGGCAAACGGGUGCGUAACACAUUGGUAAUCUACCCCCUGCCGGGGGAUAACUGCCUGAAAGGGUGGCUAAUACCCCAUAGUCUUAUCUGUCUAUGGCAGAUAAGUAAAACUACGGUGGCAAGGGAGGAGCCUAUGGCCUAUCAGCUUGUUGGUAGAGUAAAAGCCUACCAAGGCUGCGACGGGUAGCGGGUGUGAGAGCACGACCCGCCUCACUGGGACUGGGACACUGCCCAGACUCCUACGGGAGGCUGCAGUUAAGAAUCUUCCUCAAUGCACGAAAGUGUGAAGGAGCGACGCCGCGUGAAUGAAGAAGCCCUUCGGGGUGUAAAAUUCUUUUCUUAGGGAAUAACAAAUGACAGUACCUAAGGAAUAAGGGGCUGCUAACUUCGUGCCAGCAGCAGCGGUAAUACGAAGGCCCCGAGCGAUAUCCGGAAUUAUUGGGCGUAAAGCGUCUGUAGACCGCCUGUUAAGUUAAUGGUUAAACCCUAAUGCUCAACAUUAGAACAGCUGUUAAAACUGGCAGGCUAGAGGGUGGGAGAGGUAAGCGGAAUUGCCGGUGUAGUAGUAAAAUGCGUUAAUAUCGGCAGGAACACCAAAUGCGAAGGCAGCUUACUGGAACACUCCUGACGUUGAGAGACGAAAGCGUGGGUAGCGAAAGGGAUUAGAUACCCCUGUAGUCCACGCUGUAAACGCUGGAUGCUAGGCAUUGGCAGUAUCGACCCUGCCAGUGUCGUUUAAUCAAGCUAACGCGUUAAGCAUCCCGCCUGGGGAGUACGGCCGCAAGGCUAAAACUCAAAGGAAUUGACGGGAACCCGCACAAGCGGUGGAGCACGUGGUUUAAUUCGACAGUAAGCGAGGAACCUUACCAAGGCUUGACAUACCAGGAACCCCGUAGAAACACGGGGGUGCCUUCGGGAAUCUGAUUUCAGGUGCUGCAUGGUUGUCGUCAGCUCGUGUCGUGAGAUGUACGGUUAAGUCCGGUAACGAGCGCAACCCCUAUUCUGUGUUAAAUAUUCCACAGAAGACUGCCAUCCUUAAGAUGGAGGAAGGUGGGGAUGACGUCAAAUCAGCAUGGCUCUUACGCCUUGGGCUACACACAUGCUACAAUGGCCGGUACAGAGGGUUGCCAAACCGUAAGGUGGAGCUAAUCCUGCAAAACCGGUCCAAGUUCGGAUUGAGGUCUGAAAUUCGACCUCAUGGAGUCGGAAUCGCUAGUAACCGUGAAUCAGCUAUGUCACGGUGAAUACGUUCUCGGGUUUUGUACACACCGCCCGUCACGUCAAGAGAGUCGGGAAUACCUGAAUGUCGUUGUAUAAUGGCAGAGGGUAGGCUCGAUGAUAGGGACGAAGUCGUAACAAGGCA